UACAGAGGGUGCAAGCGUUGUUCGGAAUUAUUGGGCGUAAAGCGCGUGUAGGCGGCUUUGCAAGUCGGGUGUGAAAGCCCUGGGCUCAACCCAGGAAGUGCGCCCGAAACUGCAUUGCUUGAGUACCGGAGAGGGUAGCGGAAUUCCCCAAGUAGAGGUGAAAUUCGUAGAUAUGGGGAGGAACACCGGUGGCGAAGGCGGCUACCUGGACGGAUACUGACGCUGAGACGCGAAAGCGUGGGUAGCAAACAGGAUUAGAUACCCCCGUAGUCC
rnacentral:rRNA from 1 species